rnacentral:rRNA from 1 species
UACGUAGGGGGCAAGCGUUGUCCGGAAUCAUUGGGCGUAAAGCGCGUGUAGGCGGCCAGGUAAGUCCGUUCUGAAAGCCCGGGGCUCAACCCCGGGAGGCGGAUGGAUACUGCUUGGCUCGAGUCCGGAAGAGGCGAGUGGAAUUCCCGGUGUAGCGGUGAAAUGCGCAGAUAUCGGGAGGAACACCAAUGGCGAAGGCAGCUCGCUGGGACGUGACUGACGCUGAGACGCGAAAGCGUGGGGAGCAAACAGG